CCCUAGAUGACGCCUGCGGCGUGCUUAACACAUGCAAGUCGAACGAUGAUCUCCAGCUUGCUGGGGGGAUUAGUGGCGAACGGGUGAGUAACACGUGAGUAACCUGCCCUUGACUCUGGGAUAAGCCUGGGAAACUGGGUCUAAUACCGGAUACGACCGUCCCGCGCAUGCGGUGGUGGUGGAAAGCUUUUGCGGUUUUGGAUGGACUCGCGGCCUAUCAGCUUGUUGGUGGGGUAAUGGCCUACCAAGGCGACGACGGGUAGCCGGCCUGAGAGGGUGACCGGCCACACUGGGACUGAGACACGGCCCAGACUCCUACGGGAGGCAGCAGUGGGGAAUAUUGCACAAUGGGCGAAAGCCUGAUGCAGCGACGCCGCGUGAGGGAUGACGGCCUUCGGGUUGUAAACCUCUUUCAGUAGGGAAGAAGCGAAAGUGACGGUACCUGCAGAAGAAGCGCCGGCUAACUACGUGCCAGCAGCCGCGGUAAUACGUAGGGCGCAAGCGUUAUCCGGAAUUAUUGGGCGUAAAGAGCUCGUAGGCGGUUUGUCGCGUCUGCUGUGAAAGACCGGGGCUCAACUCCGGUUCUGCAGUGGGUACGGGCAGACUAGAGUGAUGUAGGGGAGACUGGAAUUCCUGGUGUAGCGGUGAAAUGCGCAGAUAUCAGGAGGAACACCGAUGGCGAAGGCAGGUCUCUGGGCAUUAACUGACGCUGAGGAGCGAAAGCAUGGGGAGCGAACAGGAUUAGAUACCCUGGUAGUCCAUGCCGUAAACGUUGGGCACUAGGUGUGGGGGACAUUCCACGUUUUCCGCGCCGUAGCUAACGCAUUAAGUGCCCCGC
rnacentral:rRNA from 1 species